UUUCCAGUAGUAGUAGUAUUCCCAGGAAGCUUCUGCUGAUACUCCAAGUCUUGCUAAGAAGCCCCAGUGACCACUCCCCUUUCUGGGGAGAGCAGACAAAGGUAGUUCUCUGUUUAACUGUCUGUCUCAAUAUUAGAUCAGAAGCUACUUGAGAAUAAGGACUGCAUCUCAAUCUUUGAACUUCAAAGCUUGAGAGAGUCUGACACACAGCAGGCACCCAAUGAACACUCACUGAAGGAAAUAAUGUGUAGUAGUAACUUCCGCAGCCUGAACAAGCCCCCCCCCCCCCCGCGCUAAACAGGGCACGAUGUUAUUGAGGACACACUCACAGGUGCACCUGGCCUGCAACCAACUCGACAAAAAGCCUGCGAUCUGGGUCAAGACAAGCUUGUGUGAAUGGGAAAGUCUCGCUGCUUUUAAGGCCCAAGAGCCACGCCACAGCUGUGCCAGGACCCCCAGGAAGUGGGCAACUGCUCACAGGGAGGUCUAAGCAAAGAAACGUGGAUGAGUGAGCACAAACUUAUCCACACCAGAGGAAAAGAAUCUAAGAUUCCACCCUGUUCCUCAUGCCUUAAUUAGGGCCAUUAUUCCCCAGCACGAUGCUGUACUAGCAUAUGAAAGCCAGCCUCAAAACAACGGACUUCCCCAGGUGAUGGAAACGGAUUGAAGGAGCCUCCGUUAGGAAUCUGUGCAUGGACUUUCCCAGGUGAUGGAAAUGGACAUCUCUAACGGGUGCCCAACCUCACGGGCUGCUCGUUAGGAAUCUGUGCAUGGACUUUCCCAGGUGAUGGAAAUGGACAUCUCGAACAGGUUGCCGAACCCUACUACGGACCGGCUCGUUAGGAAUCUGUGCAUUUUCUGCAUGUAAAUGACCGAGAGGAGCCUCUGUAGUCUUUUCCAAUCCACGGCUCACUUAGCCAGGAGGCAGAAGAGAUGGCAAGCCUGGAAUGCGUACCACAGCACUAGAAUUCUUGUUAUCAAGACUGCUGAUGCCGCAGGCUCUUAGGAAACGAGACGUCAUGUGAAGGUCUACAGGAUGCGGAACAGUUUCUCUCUAUGAACGCCGUGAGGACAAACGAGUCACCUGUGUAAAGGGCCUGCAAGAGCGUCGGAAGCACAGAGGCGGUGAGAACGUGAGACCAGGAGAGACAGUGAGAGAGGCCAAGGAGGUGGUGAGAACGUGAAAACAGGAGAGACACUGAGAAAGGCCAAGGAGACGGUGAGAAUGUGAGACCAGGAGAGACACUGAGAAAGGCCAAGGAGGCAGUGAGAACGUGAGACCAGGAGAGACACUGAGAAAGGCCAAGGAGGCAGAGCCUCUCUUCUUGCUCCCCAUUUCCAUCUUGGCCUCUCCUGACCAUCUUACCAGACUCUGCGCUCUGGAAAACACUAGAAACGUAUUCAUGCAAACACAUAAACAACUGAUGAGGGCUUAAAAUGAGUCCCCUCCACGGUCCACCUGCAUUUUAACAUAAAUCAGAAUUAAAGAAAAUGACAGGUUAAUAAUGGAAUUUUUAGCAUGAUGACAAAAAAAAAAAAAAAAGCACUGGGGAAAUGGAGGGGUCGUGGAGAAACCAAGCCACCAAGGGGACCCAGCCUCUGCAGACCCGGAUGGGGAGCACCGUGAAGGUUUCACAAGCACUGCGGGAACGGGAUGGUUGACGGGACCCUGGAGAGUAUCUGCCAGGAGAGCUAGCGUGGCCGACCAGCAGAGGACCACCUGCAGUCUGCCUUCUUUUCCUGGUGCCCUGACACCAACAGUCCUGAGCACCAGGAUGCAGCUUGAAGAGCACACCAGCCCUUCGCACGGGGGGCAAGCAGAGGGCUCUGGCAGCACGCAGGCAGAGAAGGAGCUGGCCCGGACCCAGCCUUCUCCCUCUCUCAGCACUGCCUGCUCAAGAGCCUGUCCCUGGGAGGCCAAAAGACCUGUUCUCAGUUCCUAGGGAAAGCAGUACCCCCAGUGACCAUGAUUCCUACUCAGAGGGCGUGGCACUGUACCAGGCCUUCCCUGCACAUUUCAUGUAUCUCACCGAGUUCAGGAGGCAGAAGGGCCUAGCGGACACGGCCUCUGGGGUCAGAUGGGAUAAAAUCAAACAUAUUUAUAAAACCCAUCACCCAAAUACACAUAGGUGGCAUUCAUAAAAACCAAACCGAACCCAGUGCCGUCGAGCCGAUUCCGUCUCAUAGCGACCCUAUAGGACAGAGUAGAACUGCCCCAUAGAGUUUCCAAGGAGCGCCUGGCGGAUUCAAACUGCUGACCCUUUGGUUAGCAGCCGUAGCACUUAACCACUACACCCCCAGGGUUUCCGGCAUUCAUACAGGGCAGUGAUUAAUGUUACCCUCAAUAAUAAUAAUUUAAUCUGCACUACAAACCCUGCUGGUACAGUAGUUAAGCACUAGGUUGAUAACCCAAAGGUCAGCGGUUUGAACCCACUAGCCACUCUACAGGGGAAAAAUGUGGCAGCCUGCUUCCAUAAAGAUUACAGCCUUGGAAACCCUAUGGGGCAGUUCUACUCUGUCCUACAGGGUUGCCAUGUAUGUGUGGGUAUGUACAAACAUUAAACGGCCAGUGAUGUCAUCUCCAUUUUACACAAGAAGAAACUGAGACUCUGAGAAGUUAACGUGUGCAAGCUGGCCUAGCUAGCUAGAGUAAGUAAAAAAACUAGAAUUUAAACUGGGCUUUUUCCCCAAAUCAUUCCCCCCAUACCACUAGGCUGAAGGGAACAGCACAAAGGCGCUAGAUCCAGGGGACGGCGCACAGAGUAGUCCCGGGCCCAGCAGCUCCCACUCCAUCCUGUAGCUCCCGCCUGACUGACAGGACUCACUUCUAUGCCUGAGGCCUGUGGGGCUCUGGGGAACCAGGUGCCAUUCUGCCACUAUGCAGCGUUAGCAUCAUCCCAAGAUGCCAGGAAUUAAAAGCCAGAGUGGUAUGCAGGAGUGGAGGUGACCGGGAUCCAACCAGAUAAAGUGCAAAGCAGACAGGAGGCUUCAGGCCUGCAGAAGGCAGUGAGAUGGGAAGAAAAACUCCAGUCUAGACGGGGGCCCCACUGCAGGCCACCCCUUCAUGAUUUAUCUGUCCACUAACUAGCACAGAUGAACCAGGCUAGUGGUCUGUCCAGAGAUCUGGGGGAGGGAGUGGAACAGGGAGAGACAAAGAAAUCUAAAGACUGCUCCACAAGUAAGUGCUGGGUCCACAGCUACACUGUCAGUGUGGUACCAGAAUACUAAGACAAGAAACUGCUAGAAUUAACAUAAAAACUGGCCAGAGGUAGGUGGACCCUCUAGAGCCCAAAGAGAUGGAAGUAAAAGCAAACCACGUGUAGGAACAAGUCCACAGCCCAGGGACCACUCAUGGGACUUCACAGAAAAAAAAUGACCGCUGUCCACCAAAGAUGAGCUCAUGUUAAACAAACUACAAAUCACUGGGAGAAAGACGCACGGAGAGUGAGGGGUGGGGAGGAUGAGAGAGAACACACACAGUGGGAAAACGUGCACCCCAAGAACUAGAAACAAUAAGCAAUCUGAGAGAUAAAAAUUAAGUAUGUCCAAAAAUGACUAAAGACAUAAGAUACGUACAGAUGGCACAAUGAAAGAGAGGUGGGUCUGAAAAAGCACCCCAGACAAUUUCCAGAACUGAAAGAUCUUAUCAGUGCGACUAGUAAGCUGAAGCAGUUCCAAGCCUACACUCCCCUGCUGAGCUCCACCUCCCUGCUCCCGGGCAUGGCCACCGCCCUCCACCCUCCUCUCUCCACCCUCCUCUCCCCACCCUCCUCUCCGGCCUCCUCUCCCUCCAGCCCGACCUCACAGGCCCUUAAACCUCACACACAGAGGCCUCACACACAGCAGGCCGCCCACUCCUUCUCCACCGGCCUUGUCUUUCUUACUCAUCCUUAGGGCCUAGUUCCAGGAAGCUUUUCCUGGUUCUCCAGGCUGAACCAUUCACCCGAAGCACUUAGAGCGAGCACCUCUGCUGCCCUGUCUUAGUCGGCACACACCACGUAGCACGCUGUAAUGAAAUGACCUGUCUCCUCCCUUCCGACUGUGAGUUCUGGGUCACUUCCAUCUCAGAGUUCCCGGUGUCUACGACACUUGGCAAACACACACUUGAUCUGAACUAAAAGCUCUUGCCGUUAAUUCAAAAUAGCACGUCAUUCAUAUUUGGAGUAAAAAAUAUUACUGACUUCACUCUAACUGCAACACAGCAGCACAUUUUAAGUGUGAACGAAAAUUUACAGCCUGAGACUAAAUAUCACUCUUGUACCAUGAGAAUGACGGGUAUGAAAUUAAAUCCCACCAGAAGAAGAUAAACAAUGGACUUUUAAAAGGUGGGCUUGGGGAGGGGAUCAGAUAGUGUCUGUAAGUGCUGAUGAAAAAAGUCUUUCACAGGAACGUAGCUUUGAUCCUCUUAAUUUUCACUUGCUGCCGGGAACUAAAAAAAAAAAAAACGAAAUAUCCUAAAGAUCAAAACUAUUAUAGGUGUGUGACAGGCAGUUCUCUCUUAUUUCUUUAGAAAAGGAGAGAGCGACUCUCCAACGUUUGAAGUAAGAGCAUUUUUCUCAUUUACCAAAGAAAUGAGGCCUGAGGAGAAACGUAUUUCACAAUGUCAAAGGCACUGAGGUUUUCAUUAAAUCGAGAUAUGUUACAGAAACCUUAAACACUCCUGCACUCGGCAAAUUCUAACAUACCCAAAUCAGGACACUUCACAUAGCUAUGGUUUUACUGCUGGUUAUCAAAAGGGGCACAAAUUACUCACCGACAAUAAAUUCAAAAUUUCCUAUCCUUCUGCGGGCGGGGAAGAAUGUUCAAUACAUCUUCCUCACAGACAUGCGUGUGUACACACACACACACACACACACCUCACCCCCAGCUAUUAAUUAUUCCAAUUAGCAAAAGUCUCCAGGUCCUAUGCUAACGUUUUAUCUUUCAAUUAGAAGUGUAGUGAAAGUGCGAUUAUUAAAACUCCCAGACCUUAGCCAAGGGUUAAUAUGUACAGAAUACGAAAGUAGAGCAAAGAAAGAAUGACUCCCUUCAGUGAUGAAUUAAGUAUAUCCUCUCAUCACAGAGGGGAAAAAAAAAAAGGAAUUCUUUCCUUCUUAACAGGACCGUAUUACUAUCAUUAUCAAAGUAAUGCAUGCUCACUGUAAAGAAUACAAAAAGCAUACAGAAAAAAAGGAACCCAGUUGUUAAUCCUACCAGCCAGAGAUGAUUACCAUUAAUGCUGUAGUCUACUUCUCUUGGGUCAUUUUGCCCUCACGUGUGUGUUUAU